rnacentral:rRNA from 1 species
CCUACGGGAGGCAGCAGUGGGGAAUAUUGCACAAUGGGGGAAACCCUGAUGCAGCGACGCCGCGUGAGUGAAGACGUCUUUAGGUAUGUAAAGCUCUUUCAGCAGGGGAGAAAAUGACGGUACCUGACCAAGAAGCCCCGGCUAACUACGUUCCAGCAGCCGCGGUAAUACGUAGGGGGCAAGCGUUAUCCGGAUUUACUGGGUGUAAAGGGAGCGUAGACGGCAGGGCAAGUCUGGAGUGAAAGGCGGGGGCUCAACCCCCGGACUGCUCUGGAAACUGCCAGGCUGGAGUGCAGGAGAGGUAAGUGGAAUUCGUAGUGUAGCGGUGAAAUGCGUAGAUAUUAGGAGGAACACCAGUGGCGAAGGCGGCUUACUGGACUGUAACUGACGUUGAGGCUCGAAAGCGUGGGGAGCAAACAGGAUUAGAUACCCUUGUAGUC